rnacentral:tRNA from 1 species
GCGGAGGUGGUGGAACUGGCAGACACGUAGGUCUCAGAAGCCUAUGCCGCAAGGCGUGAGGGUUCAACUCCCUCCCUCCGCA